rnacentral:rRNA from 1 species
AUUGAACGCUGGCGGCAGGCCUAACACAUGCCAGUCGAGCGGAUGAGGGGGGCUUGCUCCUGGAUUCAGCGGCGGACGGGUGAGUAAUGCCUAGGAAUCUGCCUGGUAGUGGGGGAUAACGUCCGGAAACGGGCGCUAAUACCGCAUACGUCCUGCGGGAGAAAGUGGGGGAUCUUCGGACCUCACGCUGUCAGAUGAGCCUAGGUCGGAUUAGCUAGUUGGUGGGGUAAAGGCCUACCAAGGCGACGAUCCGUAGCUGGUCUGAGAGGAUGAUCAGUCACACUGGAACUGAGACACGGUCCAGACUCCUACGGGAGGCAGCAGUGGGGAAUAUUGGACAAUGGGCGAAAGCCUGAUCCAGCCAUGCCGCGUGUGUGAAGAAGGUCUUCGGAUUGUAAAGCACUUUAAGUUGGGAGGAAGGGCAGUAAGUUAAUACCUUGCUGUUUUGACGUUACCAACAGAAUAAGCACCGGCUAACUUCGUG